rnacentral:rRNA from 1 species
GACGAACGCUGGCGGCGUGCUUAACACAUGCAAGUCGAACGGGUCUGCCCUGUUUUUUGCGGGGUGGGUCAGUGGCGAACGGGUGAGUAACACGUGAGUAACCUGCCCCUCACUUCUGGAUAACCGCUUGAAAGGGUGGCUAAUACGGGGUGUUCUGGCUGUGCCGCAUGGUGUGGCUGGGAAAGAUUCACUUUUGUGGUGUUUUGGUGGGGGAUGGGCUCGCGGCCUAUCAGCUUGUUGGUGGGGUGAUGGCCUGCCAAGGCUUUGACGGGUAGCCGGCGUGAGAGGGUGGGCGGGCACACUGGGACUGAGAUACGGCCCAGACUCCUGCGGGAGGCAGCAGUGGGGGGUAUUGCACAAUGGGCGGAAGCCUGAUGCAGCGACGUCGCGUGAGGGAUGGAGGCCUUCGGGUUGUGAACCUCUUUCGCCGGUGAAGAAGGUCCUGCUCUUUGUGGUGGGGUUGACGGUAGCCGGGUUAUGAAGCGCCGGCUAACUACGUG